UCAAUUCCGACCAAUCUCCCUUCUCAACGUUGAAGGGAAGAUCUUUUUCAGUAUAAUAGCACAGAGGCUGUCCACUUAUCUGGAAAGGAACAAGUACAUUGAUACAUCUGUACAGAAAGCAGGCAUUCCUGGUUUCUCUGGUUGCCUGGAACAUACUAGUAUGAUUUGGCACCAGAUCCAAACAGCUAAGAAAGACAAGAGAGACCUCUAUGUCAUCUUCCUCGACCUGGCCAAUGCCUUUGGCUCAGUUCCCCAUGAACUCCUCUGGGAAUCCUUCAACAUUUUCCACGUACCAGAACCCAUCACUACACUGGUAAAGGCCUAUUUCCAAGACCUGCAAUUGUGUUUCACAACACCUGACUUCACAACAACAUGGCAGCGCUUGGAAGUAGGCAUAAUGGCAGGCUGUACAAUUUCUCCUCUGGCCUUCACUAUGGCCAUGGAAGUCAUCAGGGCAUCGAGAUGGGUGGUCGGCGGUGAGAGAACUAAGGAAGGGCUCCGUCUCCCACCUAUCCGAGCAUACAUGGAUGACAUGACUACACUGACCACCACUGCAGCAUGCACCAGGCGGCUACUUGCAAAACUGCAGGAUAACAUCAAGUGGGCCCGGAUGAAAAUCAAGCCAAGCAAAUCUCGAAGCAUCUCCAUAGUCAAGGGACAACUUAAAGAUGUGAGGUUCUGCAUUGGAGAUGACCCGAUACCAACGGUGUCUGAGCAACCCAUCAAGAGCCUGGGUAGAUGGUACAACGAAAGCCUCCGGGAUAAAGAUCAAGUUCAGCAAGUAAGGCAGAACAUCGCUGACGGUCUUGAGAACAUCAACAAAACCCUACUGCCUGGGAGACUCAAGCUUUGGUGCCUACAGUUUGGACUUCUCCCCCGGGUAAUGUGGCCACUCACAGUCUAUGAGGUCCCAAUAACAACAGUGGAGAAGAUGGAGCGAACCAUUACCUCAUACGUGAAGAAAUGGCUGGGUGUCCCACGAUGCCUGAGUAACAUCGGCCUCUAUGGCAAAGGGGUCCUUGAACUACCUCUUACAAGUCUAACGGAGGAGUACAAGUGCUCUAAAGUAAGACUUCAGAUGACAUUGAAGGACUCCAAAGACCAGACUAUUAGCAAGGCUGCACCUCCCCUACAAACUGGACAGAAAUGGACAUCAUCCAAGGCUGUGCAGCAAGCAACAUCAGCCCUGAGUCACCAAGACAUUGUGGGGAAUAUCCAGCAUGGAAGAGGAGGCUUUGGCCUGGCAGCAAGCAAACCAACGUUCCAUAAGGCAACAACAUCUGAACGCAGGAAGCUGGUGGUCGAGGAGGUGCGCAGACAGGAGGAGACUGCAAGAAGUGCAAAGGCUGUCUCUUGCUAAACAAGGGCAAUGGACGCGGUGGGAAGGCCUGUAGAGGAGAAAGAUCAACUGGAGUGAGCUUUGGCAAAUGGAGGCAAGCAACAUCAGCUUCAUCAUAAGAGCUGUUUAUGAUGUGCUUCCAUCACCAAAAAAUCUACAUCAAAUGGUAUGGCGAGGACUCGACCUGCCCCCUCUGCCCAGCUCCAGCGACUCUCAGGCAUAUAAUGACAGGUUGCAAGACCAGCCUCUCACAAGGCCGCUACACCUGGAGGCACAAUCAGGUCCUCAAGAGCCUGGCUGCAGCACUUUGAGACCAAGAGGAGUGCAACCAAUUCAUUACCUCCAAAAUCAAGCAAUCCCGUCAAAACAACAACAGUCAUCCGGGAGGGACAGAAAAGGCCCAAGUAUCCUCCUACGAAGCCAGAAACUGGACACCUAGCCAUGGCCCGGGACUGGAAGAUGCUUAUC
ensembl:lncRNA